rnacentral:rRNA from 1 species
CGGGUGAGUAAUGGAUAAGUAACCUGCCCUUAAGUGGGGGAUAACACUUCGAAAGAAGUGCUAAUACCGCAUGUGGUGCUCUUUCACAAGAAGGAUCACUAAAACCGCAAGGUGCUUGAGGAGGGGCUUGUCUCUGAUUAGCUAGUUGGUGGGGUAACGGCCUACCAAGGCGAUGAUCGGUAGCUGGUCUGAGAGGAUGGUCAGCCACACUGGGACUGAGACACGGCCCAGACUCCUACGGGAGGCAGCAGCAAGGAAUCUUGGGCAAUGGGCGAAAGCCUGACCCAGCGACGCCGCGUGAGGGAUGACGGCCUUCGGGUUGUAAACCUCUUUUCUCAGGGAAGAAUAAUGACGGUACCUGAGGAAUAAGUCUCGGCUAACUACGUGCCAGCAGCCGCGGUAAUACGUAGGAGGCGAGCGUUAUCCGGAUUUAUUGGGCGUAAAGUGGGCGUAGGUGGUCUUUCAAGUCGGAUGUGAAAUCUCCCGGCUCAACUGGGAGGGGUCAUCCGAUACUGUUGGACUUGAGUACAGCAGGGGAAAAUGGAAUUCCCGGUGUAGUGGUGAAAUGCGUAGAUAUCGGGAGGAACACCAGAGGCGAAGGCGAUUUUCCAGGCUGAAACUGACACUGAGGCCCGAAAGCGUGGGGAGCGAACAGGAUUAGAUACCCUGGUAGUCCACGCCUUAAACUAUGGGUACUAGGUAUAGGG